rnacentral:rRNA from 1 species
AUUGAACGCUGGCGGCAUGCCUUACACAUGCAAGUCGAACGGCAGCACGGGUGCUUGCACCUGGUGGCGAGUGGCGAACGGGUGAGUAAUACAUCGGAACAUGUCCUGUAGUGGGGGAUAGCCCGGCGAAAGCCGGAUUAAUACCGCAUACGAUCUACGGAUGAAAGCGGGGGACCUGCGGGCCUCGCGCUAUAGGGUUGGCCGAUGGCUGAUUAGCUAGUUGGUGGGGUAAAGGCCUACCAAGGCGACGAUCAGUAGCUGGUCUGAGAGGACGACCAGCCACACUGGGACUGAGACACGGCCCAGACUCCUACGGGAGGCAGCAGUGGGGAAUUUUGGACAAUGGGCGAAAGCCUGAUCCAGCAAUGCCGCGUGUGUGAAGAAGGCCUUCGGGUUGUAAAGCACUUUUGUCCGGAAAGAAAUCCUUGGCCCUAAUACGGUCGGGGGAUGACGGUACCGGAAGAAUAAGCACCGGCUAACUACGUG